CAGCAGCCGCCGCGGUAAUACAGAGGGUGCGAGCGUUAAUCGGAUUUACUGGGCGUAAAGCGUGCGUAGGCGGCUUUUUAAGUCGGGGGUGAAAGCCCGGGGCUCAACCCCGGAACUGCCCUCGAAACUAGGUAGCUAGAAUCUUGGAGAGGUCUGUGGAAUUCCGAGUGUAGAGGUGAAAUUCGUAGAUAUUCGGAAGAACACCAGUGGCGAAGGCGACUGACUGGACAAGUAUUGACGCUGAGGUGCGAAAGCGUGGGGAGCAAACAGGAUUAGAUACCCGUGUAGUCCCUGUCUCUUAUAC
rnacentral:rRNA from 1 species